rnacentral:rRNA from 1 species
GACGAACGCUGGCGGCGUGCUUAACACAUGCAAGUCGAACGGAAAGGCCCUGCUUUUGUGGGGUGCUCGAGUGGCGAACGGGUGAGUAACACGUGAGUAACCUGCCCUUGACUUUGGGAUAACUUCAGGAAACUGGGGCUAAUACCGGAUAGGAGCUCCUGCUGCAUGGUGGGGGUUGGAAAGUUUCGGCGGUUGGGGAUGGACUCGCGGCUUAUCAGCUUGUUGGUGGGGUAGUGGCUUACCAAGGCUUUGACGGGUAGCCGGCCUGAGAGGGUGACCGGCCCCCAUGGGACUUCGGUACGGCCCAGACUCCUACGGGAGGCAGCAGUGGGGAAUAUUGCACAAUGGGCGGAAGCCUGAUGCAGCAACGCCGCGUGCGGGAUGACGGCCUUCGGGUUGUAAACCGCUUUCGCCUGUGACGAAGCGUGAGUGACGGUAAUGGGUAAAGAAGCACCGGCUAACUACGUG